rnacentral:rRNA from 1 species
UACGUAGGGUGCGAGCGUUGUCCGGAAUUAUUGGGCGUAAAGGGCUCGUAGGCGGCCUGUCGCGUCGACUGUGAAAACCCAGGGCUCAACCCUGGGCCUGCAGUCGAUACGGGCAGGCUAGAGUGCAGUAGGGGAGACUGGAAUUCCUGGUGUAGCGGUGAAAUGCGCAGAUAUCAGGAGGAACACCGGUGGCGAAGGCGGGUCUCUGGGCUGUAACUGACGCUGAGGAGCGAAAGCGUGGGGAGCGAACAGG